rnacentral:rRNA from 1 species
AUUGAACGCUGGCGGCAUGCUUUACACAUGCGAGUCGAACGGUAACAGGCCUUCGGGUGCUGACGAGUGGCGAACGGGUGAGUAAUGCAUCGGAACGUGCCCAGAGGUGGGGGAUAACGCAGCGAAAGCUGUGCUAAUACCGCAUGUGAUCUGAGGAUGAAAGCGGGGGACCGAGCAGCAAUGUUUGGCCUCGCGCCUUUGGAGCGGCCGAUGUCGGAUUAGCUAGUUGGUGGGGUAAAGGCCUACCAAGGCGACGAUCCGUAGCUGGUCUGAGAGGACGACCAGCCACACUGGGACUGAGACACGGCCCAGACUCCUACGGGAGGCAGCAGUGGGGAAUUUUGGACAAUGGGCGCAAGCCUGAUCCAGCAAUGCCGCGUGCGGGAAGAAGGCCUUCGGGUUGUAAACCGCUUUUGGCAGGAACGAAACGGUGUCCGCUAAUACCGGGCGCUAAUGACGGUACCUGCAGAAUAAGCACCGGCUAACUACGUG